CUUGCUUUGUCAGGUCCUCGUUUGUAUGUCUCAGGUUGUUGAUCUCCUCUCUUGCAUGGGCAACUACAUCACUCUGCAUGAUGAAUUGAUGAUGGAGGUGGUGGCUGACAAAAAUUUCAUAUGCUGAUGAUACACGAAACUGCGGAAGGCUUGUGGCUUUGGAAGAGAGUGGUAGGCUAUUGUUUGCGGUGCACAGAAAUGGGUGGUGGCUGGUGUGCCUGGGUGAGGGUGAAGCGGGGGUUGUAGUCUGGGUGAUGGUGAUAUAUCUGGAUAGGGGAGACGCGGUGGAUUAUGACGACGAUGAGGCUCACAGGAUGGAGCAUGGCAGUGCUAGUACCCUCUCCUGGACUCUAAUCUGAAGUGGUUUUUGUAUAUGAAGCAAUACUAGCAGGGAAUUCGCCUGUUUUUUUUUUCAAUCUGUACAAGUGAUUUUGUAUAUAAUCUGAAUCCUACUGGCCUAAAGAAAGGGGCCGGUUUUACCUAAGGUGUAUCCUACUUUACAUUUAUAAAUAUCUCCAACCAGAGAAUACAGAUAUUUUUGUA